GUUGUCUGGUAACAUCACAUUGACAGUGGGUUAGGUUGUCUGUAAUACCCAGAAACCAUAGUGACAGCAGGUUAGGUUGUCUGUAAUACCCAGAAACCAUAGUGACAGCAGGUUAGGUUGUCUGUAAUACCGAGAAACCAUAGUGACAGCGGGUUAGGUUGUCUGUAAUACCCAGAAACCCCAGUGACAGCAGGUUAGGUUGUCUGUAUUACCCAGAAACCCCAGUGACAGCAGGUUAGGUUGUCUGUAUUACCCAGAAACCAUAGUGACAGCGGGUUAGGUUGUCUGUAUUACCCAGAAACCCCAGUGACAGUGGGUUAGGUUGUCUGUAAUACCCAGAAACCAUAGUGACAGCGGGUUAGGUUGUCUGUAAUACCCAGAAACCCCAGUGACAGCAGGUUAGGUUGUCUGUAAUACCCAGAAACCAUAGUGACAGCAAGUUAGGUUGUCUGUAAUACCCAGAAACCAUAGUGAUAGCAGGUUAGGUUGUCUGUAAUACCCAGAAACCAUAGUGACAGCAGGUUAGGUUGUCUGUAAUACCCAGAAACCAUAGUGAUAGCAGGUUAGGUUGUCUGUGAUACCCAGAAACCAUAGUGACAGCAGGUUAGGUUGUCUGGUAACAUCACAGUGACAGCAGGUUAGAUUGUCUGUGAUACCCAGAAACCAUAGUGACAGCAGGUUAGGUUGUCUGUAUUACCCAGAAACCAUAGUGACAGCAGGUUAGGUUGUCUGUGAUACCCAGAAACCAUAGUGACAGCAGGUUAGGUUGUCUGUAAUACCCAGAAACCCCAGUGACAGCGGGUUAGGUUGUCUGUAAUACCCAGAAACCCCAGUGACAGCAGGUUAGGUUGUCUGUAUUACCCAGAAACCCCAGUGACAGCAGGUUAGGUUGUCUGUAUUACCCAGAAACCCCAGUGACAGCAGGUUAGGUUGUCUGUAUUACCCAGAAACCCCAGUGACAGCGGGUUAGGUUGUCUUUAUGACCCAGAAACCCCAGUGACAGCGGGUUAGGUUGUCUGUAUUACCCAGAAACCCCAGUGACAGCAGGUUAGGUUGUCUGUAUUACCCAGAAACCCCAGUGACAGCGGGUUAGGUUGUCUUUAUGACCCAGAAACCCCAGUGACAGCGGGUUAGGUUGUCUGUAUUACCCAGAAACCCCAGUGACAGCAGGUUAGGUUGUCUGUAUUACCCAGAAACCCCAGUGACAGCGGGUUAGGUUGUCUGUAUUACCCAGAAACCCCAGUGACAGCAGGUUAGGUUGUCUGUAAUACCCAGAAACCAUAGUGACAGCAGGUUAGGUUGUCUGUAAUACCCAGAAACCCCAGUGACAGCGGGUUAGGUUGUCUGUAUUACCCAGAAACCCCAGUGACAGCGGGUUAGGUUGUCUGUAUUACCCAGAAACCCCAGUGACAGCGGGUUAGGUUGUCUGUAAUACCCAGAAACCCCAGUGACAGCGGGUUAGGUUGUCUGUAAUACCCAGAAACCCCAGUGACAGCGGGUUAGGUUGUCUGUAAUACCCAGAAACCCCAGUGACAGCGGGUUAGGUUGUCUGUAUUACCCAGAAACCCCAGUGACAGCGGGUUAGGUUGUCUGUAAUACCCAGAAACCCCAGUGACAGCAGGUUAGGUUGUCUGUAAUACCCAGAAACCCCAGUGACAGCGGGUUAGGUUGUCUGUAAUACCCAGAAACCAUAGUGACAGCGGGUUAGGUUGUCUGUAUUA